GAUUUCUGGUUUGGUAUGCCUGACCCGUCAUGGUUACAUGAUUGUGUGUCGGUGCGUGCCUGCCAUCCUUCUAGAGAACAUGAGACCACCCUUCAUUGGGUUGGAUUCAUGUCGCUCUAGAUCUUUUACUUUGAAAAAAUUAGAGUGUUUCAAGCAGGCAGUUUGCUAUGAAUACAUUAGCAUGGAAUAAUAAUCUAGGACUUUCGGUUCUAUUUUGUUGGUGUUCUGGAGCUGAAGUAAUGAUUGAUAGGGAUAGUUGGGGGUGCUAGUAUUCAAUGGCCAGAGGUGAAAUUCUCGGAUUCCUUGAAGACUAACUUAUGCGAAAGCAUU
rnacentral:rRNA from 1 species